rnacentral:lncRNA from 10 species
GGCAGUGGUAAGUGUCAGGACAGAUGAAGACAUCCCUGUUAAAGGACUGUGGGAUAAACACUCAACCCUCUUAAAGUAUAAAUCAGGUUAUAAAACCACACUUCACAUGAGUUCAUGCAUUUCAGUUGACCAUUUCUUUCCCUCGCAGGCUCAGAGACCCGCCCCAGGGCACCCAUCAGAAUGCUCACAAGCGCUCAAGUCCUCUGUACAAGUGACUCAUAAGCCAGCCUGGGGAGUCAAGGAGAGAAAUGUUGCCACAGUCUGAGGAAAAUCCCACCAUUACACCAGAUGAGAAAGCAGAUUCAGCUGGAUUAAACAACUUGCCCAAAGUUGUUCAGCUGAAGCAGGAUGGAGCCCAGGCCCGUCUGACACCAAAGCCUGUGCCCUCAAACACUGGCCCACGCUGCCUCUCAGGGCACCAACUCAAAGUCAACACCAUCACCUCUUCAACAAGGAAGUCACAAGUCAUAUUAAAGUGAAAGACUGGAGAGCCCAGAAGUAAGAAAGACUGGAGAGCUCCAAAGUGGAGCUAAUUCUCAGACAAAAUGAAUGUCUUUUUCUGGUGCAACUCCCUUUUUUGCUGUUAUCUGAAAACAUUAAGCUAUGUUGCCUUAAGUCACUCAUAUAAACCCACUUUGCUAAUAAUGUGUAAUUUAUUCAGCACUUACUAGGUAUGUUAUUUCUGAAACUUUUAGUUGUUUCUAGUAUAUUUCUGUAAGUGCAAAUUAUCUUCAAAAACAGUGAGAAAGGUGAAAGACUUGUACUUGCAGACCUAUGGUCAGGGCAUUCCCCUUCGUACAACAGCACUACCCCCAAGCCCCCAGCAAUCAUCCUUUUCAGUGAGUCUCUCCUUGUUAAAUAAACAAACUAGUGGAAAUAAUGAAUGCAAAUGUGGCAUUUCUACAGGCAUUUUCUAGCACCUUAAUUAUUAGUAUGUUUUCUAAUCUAUAGAGAGCUUAUUUUAAAUUACAUAUUUGAUUUUGUUCUGAUAAUCCUCGAAGGAAAAACUGGUCUCCUAAACUUCAAAAAGAAAAAAAAAAAUCAUAUUGGAGAGGUUCAAUCCUAAAAGUUGGAAAAAGCA